rnacentral:rRNA from 1 species
AAUCUACCUUCACGACUGGGAUAACUGGCCGAAAGGCUUGCUAAUACCGGAUAAGCCCACGAAGACUUCGGUUUUUGAGGGAAAAGGCGGCCUCUGUAAACAAGCUGUCACGAGAAGAUGAGUCCGCGGCCCAUCAGCUAGUUGGCGGGGUAACGGCCCACCAAGGCAACGACGGGUAGCUGGUCUGAGAGGAUGAUCAGCCACACUGGAACUGAGACACGGUCCAGACUCCUACGGGAGGCAGCAGUGGGGAAUCUUGCGCAAUGGACGAAAGUCUGACGCAGCAACGCCGCGUGUGU